rnacentral:rRNA from 1 species
ACAUGCCUACAACAUAGUGUUAAUGCAUCGGAUCCCAUUAGAAAUCUGCAGUUAAGCGCGCUCGAGCUAGAGUAGUAUUGGGAAAGGUGACAGCUUGAGAAGUCCUAGUAUUUUACAUGCC